UACGUAGGGGGCAAGCGUUGUCCGGAUUUAUUGGGCGUAAAGAGCGUGUAGGCGGCCAGACAGGUCCACUGUGAAAACUCGAGGCUCAACCUCGAGAGGUCGGUGGAAACCGUCUGGCUAGAGUCCGGAAGAGGAGAGUGGAAUUCCCGGUGUAGCGGUGAAAUGCGCAGAUAUCGGGAAGAACACCCGUGGCGAAGGCGGCUCUCUGGGACGGUACUGGACGCUGAGACGCGAAAGCGUGGGGAGCGAACAGG
rnacentral:rRNA from 1 species